rfam:Myotis lucifugus cont2.8634, whole genome shotgun sequence.
AGAGGCCCUCCGCAGCUGGGGUGGAAUGCUUGCCUCGUCACCAUGGCGACGAAGCAAGCAUUCCGCCAGGCCACUCACGCUGCCCAC